GACGAACGCUGGCGGCGUGCUUAACACAUGCAAGUCGAACGGUGACCCUCGGAGCUUGCUUCGGGGUGAACAGUGGCGAACGGGUGAGUAACACGUGAGUAACCUGCCCCUGACUCUGGAAUAAGCGCUGGAAACGGCGUCUAAUACCGGAUACGACACGCCUCCGCAUGGGGAGCGUGCGGAAAGUUUUUCGGUCUGGGAUGGACUCGCGGCCUAUCAGCUUGUUGGGGAGGUAAUGGCUCACCAAGGCGAUGACGGGUAGCCGGCCUGAGCGGGCGACCGGCCACACUGGGACUGAGACAGCGCCCAGACUCCUACGGGAGGCAGCAGUGGGGAAUAUUGCACAAUGGGCGAAAGCCUUAUGCAGCGACGCCGCGUGAGGGAUGACGGCCUUCGGGUUGUAAACCUCUUGCAGCAGGGAAGAAGCGAAAGUGACGGUACCUGCAGAAGAAGCACCGGCUAACUACGUGCCAGCCGCCGCCGUAAUAC
rnacentral:rRNA from 1 species